rnacentral:rRNA from 1 species
AUUGAACGCUGGCGGCAUGCUUUACACAUGCAAGUCGGACGGCAGCACAGAGAAGCUUGCUUCUUGGGUGGCGAGUGGCGAACGGGUGAGUAAUAUAUCGGAACGUACCGAGUAAUGGGGGAUAACUAAUUGAAAGAUUAGCUAAUACCGCAUAUUCUCUGAGGAGGAAAGCAGGGGACCUUCGGGCCUUGCGUUAUUCGAGCGGCCGAUAUCUGAUUAGCUAGUUGGUGGGGUAAAGGCCUACCAAGGCGACGAUCAGUAGCGGGUCUGAGAGGAUGAUCCGCCACACUGGGACUGAGACACGGCCCAGACUCCUACGGGAGGCAGCAGUGGGGAAUUUUGGACAAUGGGCGCAAGCCUGAUCCAGCCAUGCCGCGUGUCUGAAGAAGGCCUUCGGGUUGUAAAGGACUUUUGUCAGGGAAGAAAAGGCUGUUGCUAAUAUCAAUAGCUGAUGACGGUACCUGAAGAAUAAGCACCGGCUAACUACGUG